GCAUACGCUCCGGGACAUUAUACAUAUCCGGUGGCUCAAGGUCGUCGGACACAUCUCCUGCUGUAUCGUUCCGUGCACAUAUCGCAUACGUAUGUCCCCGUAAAAUAAAAUAUAUAUCGCGUAAAAAUACACGAAGCCUGUACCGUGCAACCGUGGUGGACGGAAGUGAUAUGGACCGACACGUUAGCGUCACCGAUAUCCGGAAGUGGACGCUGGUCGCCGUGGCCCUGAUAUUACUGAUGUACGUCCAAACAUCAAUGUCGGCACCGUACGCGUGCGGGGGCGGCUGCUGUGGUUGUAAUUGCGGAUGUAACUGUUGUAGCUGUUGUGGUGGUGGCGGCUGUUGCUGAAAAAAACCAUACUUUGAUCAAGAGAUUGGUCAAACUCUACAUAAUGAAACUGAAAUAUUAUGAUAAUAGAUUUGAAAACAUUUUACAUGAUCGAUUGUUUUUAUUUUUAUUAACUACAAUUAUGUUGAAUAUUAAUGAAUAUCUGAUUUUUAUAUUUUUUUGAUGAAUUGAAUUUUUUUUUUGUUUGGUUUAAUUAUUAAAAGUUAUGAAUAUGAAUUUUCUAGCGUUAGAACGGUAAUAAAAAAAUCUCUUUUCACACAA